rnacentral:rRNA from 1 species
AUGUCUUCUUCCCCCAAUAGCGACGACAACGGCAAGAAGAACCCGCUGGACGCCAUGGGCGCCUUCUUCUCGGCGCAGGUGAACCGCCGCAAGCUGGUGACCACGCAGAAGCUGGCCAUGUCCGAGCGCUGCACCUCCUGCGGCGACGAGUUUCCCGGCUGCGCCCACCGCCCCGCCGACCGCAAGACGUGGAUGGCGGAGCUGGGGCCCGACCGCCUGCGCGUGCACCAGGUGGUGUGGCCGGGCACCCACGACUCGGCCACCAACAAGAUCGGCAUCCCCUUCAUCACCCGCCCCUUCGCGCAGUGCCAGUCGCUCUCCGUCUACCACCAGCUCGCCCUCGGCUGCCGCCUCCUCGACGUCCGCGUGCAGGAGGAGCGCCGCGUCUGCCACGGCGUGCUCGCCACCUAUUCCGUCGACGUCGUGCUCGACGACGUGCUGCGCUUCCUGGCCGAGACCCAGUCGGAGGUCCUGGUGCUGGAGAUCCGCACCGAGUUCGGCCGCGAGGACCCGCCGGACUUCGCCAAGUACCUGGUGGAGCGGCUCGGGGAGCACCUGAUCCCGCAGGACGAGGCGGUGUUCGGCAAGACGGUGGCGGAGCUGCUCCCGAGGCGGGUGAUCUGCGUGUGGAAGCCGCGCAAGUCGCCGGCGCCCGGGCGCGGCGAGCCGCUGUGGAGCUCCGGCUACCUGCGGGACAACUGGAUCGACACGGACCUGCCGGAGACCAAGUACGAGAGCAACCUCAAGUUCCUGGGCCAGCAGCCGCCGGCGAGGGACCGGCGGUACCUGUACCGGGUGGAGAACACGGUGACGCCGCAGGCCGACAACCCGGUGGUGUGCGUGCGGCCCGUCACGAACCGCAUCCGCGGCUACGCGCGCAGCUUCAUCGCCGAGGCCUUCGCCAAGGGCCUCGGCGACCGGCUCCAGGUCUUCUCCACCGACUUCAUCGACGGCGACUUCGUCGACGCCUGCGCCGGCGUCACCAAGGCCCGCGUCGACGGCACCGCGUGA